rnacentral:rRNA from 1 species
GAUGAACGCUGGCGGCGUGCCUAAUACAUGCAAGUAGAACGCUGAAGCUUGGUGCUUGCACCGAGCGGAUGAGUUGCGAACGGGUGAGUAACGCGUAGGUAACCUGCCUCUUAGCGGGGGAUAACUAUUGGAAACGAUAGCUAAUACCGCAUAAAAGUCGAUAUCGCAUGAUAUUGAUUUGAAAGGUGCAAAUGCAUCACUAAGAGGUGGACCUGCGUUGUAUUAGCUAGUUGGUGAGGUAACGGCUCACCAAGGCGACGAUACAUAGCCGACCUGAGAGGGUGAUCGGCCACACUGGGACUGAGACACGGCCCAGACUCCUACGGGAGGCAGCAGUAGGGAAUCUUCGGCAAUGGGGGCAACCCUGACCGAGCAACGCCGCGUGAGUGAAGAAGGGUUUCGGAUCGUAAAGCUCUGUUGUAAGAGAAGAACGAGUGUGAGAGUGGAAAGUUCACACUGUGACGGUAACUAACCAGAAAGGGACGGCUAACUACGUG